rnacentral:rRNA from 1 species
CCAGACUCCUACGGGAGGCAGCAGUGGGGAAUAUUGCACAAUGGGGGAAACCCUGAUGCAGCGACGCCGCGUGAAGGAAGAAGUAUUUCGGUAUGUAAACUUCUAUCAGCAGGGAAGAAAAUGACGGUACCUGACUAAGAAGCCCCGGCUGACUACGUGCCAGCAGCCGCGGUAAUACGUAGGGGGCAAGCGUUAUCCGGAUUUACUGGGUGUAAAGGGAGCGUAGGCGGCGAUGCAAGUCAGAAGUGAAAGCCCGGGGCUCAACCAUGGGACUGCUUUGGAAACUGUUAAGCUAGAGUGCUGGAGAGGUAAGCGGAAUUCCUAGUGUAGCGGUGAAAUGCGUAGAUAUUAGGAAGAACACCAGUGGCGAAGGCGGCUUACUGGACAGUAACUGACGUUGAGGCUCGAAAGCGUGGGGAGCAAACAGGAUUAGAUACCCGAGUA